GGUUGCAGCUGAGCCCAGCGGUAGCCUGGCACGGGAGUUGUCCAAGGACCGAACUUGCUCACUACCGACUCAGUCUUCCUCUUCCACCCUGGCAGCCCCACUCCGAGGAGCAGAGAAGAAGAAGCACGAGGCCAGGAGGGGGAGAGCGAGCGGAGCGCAGAGGCGCAGUCAGGCGCGUACUGAAGAGCCAGGAGAAGCGGGGGCGGGCCUGGCGAGCUAGGGCGGGGCGGGGAUGGAGCCGGAAGGACCCGGCCAACCGCUGCAGGAGGUUCCUGGGACCCGAGGCUGGCUUGGGCUACUGAUCGAUGUAGCCAGAGGGUAGCGGGCCCCCUCUGCAAAGAUCCAGGCAAGAAUCGCCUUUCCCCAAGUACUGCUGAGAGGAGACAGCCUGGCGCAGCUGGCGGCGCGGCGGAGUCUCCGCCUGAGAGCCGAGGCCUGGCGGGGGCGCACACGCACGCGCGCACGCUCUCGCGCCUCCUGUCCCCGCCGAGAGGCGCCCGCCGGGGCUGUGCCCCGCGCAGUGACCGGCGCGCCGCCGCCCUAGCCGGGAGUCGAAGCCUUUGCGCUCUACGCGCCCUGCGCCGGGGCCGCGCCUCCGCACCUCCCAGGCUCCGAGAGCGCUGCCCCAGGGUUUCCGCAGAGAAGGCAUCACCCUCUUCUGCCCAUGUCCCCACUUAGCAGCCUGGAGGUCCCACGAGGGACGCUAGGACCUCUGGGGGCUCCGCACUCUGGUGUUGGAGCCAGCUCUGGCGGGAGCUUCUGCACCCCGCCCCUCUCUAAAAGCGAUCUGGGACGACCUCUUGGGUUUGGCUCUAAUAGAGCCCUGUAUCUCUGCGAUACUGAGUUCCGAGGUAGUGAGUUCUAGGCUAAAACUACCUUCUCAAACAGGGGGAUCCUCCCACCCCUAUCUUUUACUCCCAAGUCCUCUCCACUGACUUCCUCAAACACACCCCAAGAAUGAAGAAAAAAUAGAAUUAGCGUCUGAGCUGCAGAAGCGGGAAUGGUGGACUUCACGCCCCAGAGAACGAGUCCCUGGGUUUAGCAACCAAGCCCUUGCGCACAGGCUAGAGGGUGGCAUGCCUGUUAAUUCUCAGAGGAAGCAGGGCUCACCAACCCAUUACCUCCUGGAAGAAGUUCAUGGAAGAUCAGGAACGCUUGGCUUGUGUCUUCAAUGUCACCUACUAAGCAGAGAUCCAGUACUAAUUCCUUUUGCUCUCUCUACAAUGUCCUGUGUUCUCUGUUGCUGCUGUAAUUCUACGGACCUAGAAUUCCCAAGACAGGAGGUUAUUCACGGAAACGUGAGGACCCACUGCAGUUGAGGCUUACCUUCCUACCUUCUCAGGAGGCAGGGAUCACAAAUGCAUGUGUUGGGGAUGAUGUAAAGUGUGCUGGGGAGCAUGAAAACCUCUGUAGGGGAGUUAAAAACUGGGAAUUCCUAGAGGGUGGAGCCCAAGAGGACAAAGGCAAACGUGACGGCACAAAUGGCUUUGGGAAUGGACUUGGCCUGAGGACAGUAAUGCUGGGAAGAAGGCACACUCUCAUAUUCACCCCCACCUGGCUGUCACAGCUCUUGAGCCCUUUGAGAUCUGUGAACUUCUUUCAUGCUUUCCGAUGCCCCCAUUCUCCCAGUCCCCAAAGGGCUACAAUUUCAAUGGCUGAACAAUAUCUUAUGUGUCUUCAAUAGUUUUCACUUUAUGUAACUCUAACUCCAAACCUCUGAGGUCAGCCUGGCAACACAUGUAUUACAAGCCUGAUGUGGUGAACGAAUUAGAGUUUCAGAAAUGUUAAGUAGUUUGUCCACAUCUGAUAAGAGGCAGAUUUUAGACUUCUAACAGAUCUUUCACUUGAUGGCUUUUUCCAAUACCCAGGCUAAUUUCUCAGGGGCAGUAAUAGUGGGAUCCCAAAUUGUUCAACAUCAAGAGAACAAACUAUGCAAUCACGCUAAGCCUGUGGGAAUGCUGGGCUUACCAUCCUCAAAUUGAAUCUGAUCAGUGGCCAAAUGCUCCUGGGACCACGCUGGGAAGAUGCUUAACUGGGAACACAUCUACUGCCCUCAAGAUCCGGGAGGAUCCUUAGAAAAAACUUCAGAUUAGGUCACUGCCGUAAUGCUUUGUAAGGGGAACUUGCCAUGUCCCUAGUUCCAGUGUCCUCCUAAAGACCCACAAACGGAAAUAUAAAAAAUCAACAACUGGGGCUUCCCUGGUGGCGCAGUGGUUGGGAGUCCGCCUGCCGAUGCAGGGGACACGGGUUCGUGCCCCGGUCCGGGAAGAUCCCACAUGCCGCGGAGCGGCUGGGCCCGUGGGCCAUGGCCGCUGGGCCUGCGCGUCCGGAGCUUGUGCUCCGCAACGGG